rnacentral:rRNA from 1 species
GUGGGGAAUAUUGGACAAUGGGCGCAAGCCUGAUCCAGCCAUACCGCGUGGGUGAAGAAGGCCUUCGGGUUGUAAAGCCCUUUUGUUGGGAAAGAAAUCCUGUCGAUUAAUACUCGGUGGGGAUGACGGUACCCAAAGAAUAAGCACCGGCUAACUUCGUGCCAGCAGCCGCGGUAAUACGAAGGGUGCAAGCGUUACUCGGAAUUACUGGGCGUAAAGCGUGCGUAGGUGGUGGUUUAAGUCUGCUGUGAAAGCCCUGGGCUCAACCUGGGAAUUGCAGUGGAUACUGGAUCACUAGAGUGUGGUAGAGGGAUGCGGAAUUUCUGGUGUAGCAGUGAAAUGCGUAGAGAUCAGAAGGAACAUCCGUGGCGAAGGCGGCAUCCUGGGCCAACACUGACACUGAGGCACGAAAGCGUGGGGAGCAAACAGGAUUAGAAACCCCUGUAGUCC